rnacentral:rRNA from 1 species
UUCCAGACUCCUACGGGAGGCAGCAGUGGGGAAUAUUGCACAAUGGGGGGAACCCUGAUGCAGCGACGCCGCGUGGGUGAAGAAGCGCCUCGGCGCGUAAAGCCCUGUCAGCAGGGAAGAAAAUGACGGUACCUGAAGAAGAAGCCCCGGCUAACUACGUGCCAGCAGCCGCGGUAAUACGUAGGGGGCAAGCGUUAUCCGGAUUUACUGGGUGUAAAGGGGGCGCAGACGGCGAUGCAAGCCAGGAGUGAAAGCCCGGGGCCCAACCCCGGGACUGCUCUUGGAACUGCGUGGCUGGAGUGCAGGAGGGGCAGGCGGAAUUCCUGGUGUAGCGGUGAAAUGCGUAGAUAUCAGGAGGAACACCGGUGGCGAAGGCGGCCUGCUGGACUGCAACUGACGUUGAGGCCCGAAAGCGUGGGGAGCAAACAGGAUUAGAUACCCGAGUAAG